GCUCAGCACGGUGGCACAUGCCUGUAGUCCCAGCUACUCGGGAGGCUGAGGCAGGAGGAUCACUUGAGCCUAGGAGUUCUGGGCUGUAGUGUGCUAUACCGAUCGGGUGUCUGCACUAAGUUCGGCAUCAAUAUGGUGACCUUCUGGGAGCAGGGAACCACCAGAUUGUCUAAGGAGGGGUGAUCCGGCCCAGGUUGGAAAUGGAACGGGUCAAAACUCCCGUGCUGAUCAGUAGUGAAUCGUGCCUGUCAAUAGCCACUGCACUCCAGCCUGGGCAACAUAGUGAGAUCUUGUCUCUU
ensembl:misc_RNA Metazoa_SRP Metazoan signal recognition particle RNA